CAUAGCGUCGCCCUCCACCUCCGUCCCUAAACGGGUUGUAGGUGUUUGGGUUGGAUAUUGGCCUCCCGUGCAUCUCGGUGUGCGGUUGGCCUAAAUGUGAUUCGGCAUCGACGCAUGUCUCGACAAUUGGUGGUUGAAGACCUCAACUUUCGUUUUGUCGUGCGAGAUUGCGUUGCUUGGCUCGAAUGCGUUGACCCCGA
rnacentral:misc_RNA from 1 species